rnacentral:rRNA from 1 species
UACGGGGGGGGCAAGCGUUGUUCGGAAUUACUGGGCGUAAAGGGCUCGUAGGCGGUUACUCAAGUCGGAUGUGAAAGCCCUCGGCUUAACUGAGGAAGUGCACCCGAAACUGAGUAGCUAGAGUACUAAAGAGGGUCGCGGAAUUCCCGGUGUAGAGGUGAAAUUCGUAGAUAUCGGGAGGAACACCGGUGGCGAAGGCGGCGACCUGGGUAGAUACUGACGCUGAGGCGCGAAAGCGUGGGGAGCAAACAGG